AGCAGCCGCGGUAAUUCCAGCUCCAAUAGCGUAUAUUAAAGUUGUUGCAGUUAAAGAGCUCGUAGUUGAAUUUCGGGAUCAGUUGGUCGGUCGUGCCUCGGUACGUACUGGUCAAAUUGAUUCCUACCUUCUGACGAACCACGAUGUCAUUAAUUUGGUGUCGCGGGAAAUCAGGACUGUUACUUUGAAAAAAUUAGAGUGUUUAAAGCAGGCUCGCGCUUGAAUACAUUAGCAUGGAAUAAUGAAAUAGGACGUUUGAUUCUAUUUUGUUGGUUUCUAGGAUCGACGUAAUGAUUAAUAGGGAUAGUUGGGGGCAUUAGUAUUCAAUUGUCAGAGGUGAAAUUCUUGGAUUUAUUGAAGACUAACUACUGCGAAAGCAUUUGCCAAGGAUGUUUUCAUUAAUCAAGAACGAAAGUUAGGGGAUCGAAGACGAUCAGAUACCGUCGUAGUCUUAACCAUAAACUAUGCCGACUAGGGAUCGGAUGAUGUAAUUUUUAAUGACUCAUUCGGCGCCUUACGG
rnacentral:rRNA from 1 species